rfam:Triticum urartu cultivar G1812 contig70287, whole genome shotgun sequence.
GAGUCGAGUACAGAUGGCUUCUGUUGAAGAACUGCAAAUUCUUUCAUUAAGGGUUCAAUUCCCUCUUGACUCU